rnacentral:rRNA from 1 species
GACGAACGCUGGCGGCGUGCCUAAUACAUGCAAGUCGAGCGGACGGAUGGGAGCUUGCUCCCAGACCGUCAGCGGCGGACGGGUGAGUAACACGUGGGCAACCUGCCUGUAAGACUGGGAUAACUCCGGGAAACCGGGGCUAAUACCGGAUAACUCUUUCCCUCACAUGAGGGAAAGCUGAAAGAUGGCAUCUCGCUAUCACUUACAGAUGGGCCCGCGGCGCAUUAGCUAGUUGGUGAGGUAACGGCUCACCAAGGCGACGAUGCGUAGCCGACCUGAGAGGGUGAUCGGCCACACUGGGACUGAGACACGGCUCAGACUCCUACGGGAGGCAGCAGUAGGGAAUCUUCCGCAAAGGACGAAAGUCUGACGGAGCAACGCCGCGUGAGUGAUGAAGGUUUUCGGAUCGUAAAACUCUGUUGUCAGGGAAGAACAAGUACCGGAGUAACUGCCGGUACCUUGACGGUACCUGACCAGAAAGCCACGGCUAACUACGUG